rnacentral:lncRNA from 1 species
UGUUCUCACUGCUCCUCUCUGCUCUGGGAUCCGCAGGAUGACGUCUGUCCUGGUUCUUCUUCUGUCUUUCAAAGUCACUAGUCUCCAGUUCUAAAUCCGAGCACUCUUACCCAUUCUAAGAUAGUACCAGCUCUUUGUUCUCGCUGGUUUUCUUUCCUCACCUUGGGCUGUUUCUUGCCUUUUCCAUUCUGGUGUUCUGCAAGGACCAGUUCCUUCA